UUAAAUUUUCAAAUUCAAAAACCCACAGAAUAUAGUUCCUGACGUUCGUUUUGCUUGUGUCGUUUCGUAAUGUUUUGGAAUAUGAUUGCCUGUGGACUGUGGUUUGCUGUGAUUGUUCGGGAAUUCCUGUCAUGAUCAGUUCGUCAUGAGGAACUUGGAGUUCCAACGCACAAGCGUCAGUAUCAAUACGGGAUCGCGUUCAUUUGGAGGUUUGCUGUUUGGCUACAAACUCCUACGAUAAAAAUUAUUUGGCAACUUACACGACCAAGACAGCACGUUUUUCGAAAGGAUACGUCAGUCCCUUUUAGGAAUUCCGGGAAUUUCCGUCAUUAAAUUUGCAAUUAAAUCUGGGAAAACCGCUUCUGCUGAAUGAAAUUAUAAACGGUAGCCGGGCGUCUGGAAUUCCCGAUUGGGACCAUUUUGGAUUUUAAUCAAAGCAUUGAAGGCCACUUCUAGUUUGACGCUUUUAAUUAGUAUACUGGUUUCCAGACUCUCUGAUUGUUCCUGUCAGCUUAUGACUGUCGUUCGUUGUGCUUAAUUUUAUUCUCUGAAUUGGUUUAGUCUACAGUCUCGCUUGAAUUGAUAUUUUUUUCGGGAAUUCCUGUUUGCAAUACUG